UCUCCCUGUGCCUGCAUGGGUUUCCUCCGGGUACUCCAGUUUCCCCCCUCAGCCCAAAGACAUGCGGGUAGGGGUUUCUGCUUUAA